AUUUUCAUGCCUCUUUAUUGCAUUAUUUACUAGGUUCACAUGUCCCAAGCUCAAUGUCGCUUUAUGACAUUAGCUUAAUAUACCAAUUCCAAGCCCAAUGCCUCUUUAUGACAUUAGCUUACCCUACCAAUAAUAGGUUAAUACGCAUGUGCUCUAGCAUGAUCUCACAUUGCUAAUAUGUACCUAGCAUGUAUUCCACAAUGCAUAUAAAUAUUAAUAUGCAUCUAUUCACUAACAUAUGGUUUCAAUGCGUCCGUAUGCAACUAUCAACAUAGCAUAGUUCUCAUAAUGCUACAUGCAUACACUUUCCAAUGCAACUACCAACUUAGCAUAAUUCUCAUAAUAUUAACAUGCACAUACAAUUCACAUAUCAUUCAAGUCUAAUGCCUCUUUAUGGCCUUACUUUGCUAGGCUCAUUCAUAACUCAAGCCCGAUGUCGCAUUACGACAUUAGCUCCCUAACUCACAAGUUAUUCAAAUCCAAAGCCACUUUAUGGCCUAAUGCAUUCUCCUAUAUCCAAUGAGCUUUAUGUCCAAGACAUAUUACAUUUGUCAUGUCUACUAUAUGAAGCAUGAUUCUAAGUCCCAAUUAGAAUGCUAAACCCAUGCAUAAGUCUCACUUGCAAGCUCUCUACUACAUAGAGGUCCGAAAAUGCAUUGUAUAUAACAUAAGCAUUUCAAGCAUUCUAAAAUUCACAAAUAAUGCAUCUUUUAUGAAAAUGCGUGAUUUUCCAUUUUACGAUACUUAAAUCCAAAUAAAUGAGAUUUUCUCAUUUGUAGCGAGGUCAAACCCACCAAGAGCUCCACACGACCCUUCGUGCCUGCGACUCUCUUAGCUCCAAGACUUUAGGUGAUGUCACGAUGCUACAAUUCCGGUUUCGUGAUUUUUGGAAGCUUAUGCCGCGAGCUGCGACAAUCUGUACCGAAAUCGGCCUUUUCUUCAAUAUCUUCGCAUAGCCUCGUCGUAUCGCCGAACCGACUUCGCCAACUCAUCAGAAAACCUAGCAAUUAGGUUUAUACAUGCUCAAUUUAGAUCAAACCUCUACAUAUUGCAAAACCCCAAUUUGAGCCUUAACAUGCUACUAUUGCAAGAAAUCACCAAAUUGGAACUUGAUUCAUGCAAUUAACAUGUUAUUAGCAUCUAGGGAGUUCUCUAAACCCAUUCCUAGAGCAUACGAAUCAUUCCUUAGCAAUCUAUCAUAGUUACUACCAAAGCUUACCUCCAAAGCUUUCUCUAAUAGAGAGGAAGAAGAUGAAAGCUUGAGCUCCAAGCUACUCUCCAACUUUCAAGAACUCUACUCCAACUUCUUCUCCAAUUAAUCCUUUUUUGUGGAGAGAUUAGAAGAGAAAAGGAGUGAGGGGUGAGAACUAGAGAGAAAGAGAGAAAAGGAGAAAAGAAACUUGCUCUCCAAGUCUCUCUCGGGUUGGGCACAAAUGAGAAAAAGAGUGCAAGUUCACAUAUAUAUACUCCCAAAAUACUAUUCACAUCAGAUUGUGGCUCAAGUACAGAUAUUUUUCGUCUGCCCUUCAGAACGUCCGAUUGAGCUCAAACUUGGCAGUCACGAUCAGUUUAACCUUACUUAAUGAAAGAAAUUUUAAUCUUUCAGUUUCGACCCCGUUUGGUCACCGAAAGCUGUACCGAACUGUAAUCUUUAUCAGAUAACUGUCGGAUUUUAUUUUCCACCUUCCGGGUGUCAGAAUGGCAUGAAACUUUAAAUCUAGCCUCAUAAAAAUAAUCCUAACGUAUUCGCAAAUUUUUGAAAUUUUCUGACACCGUGCAUUUUCUGCUAAAAUAUCAGCCCGGUCUCACACAGAAAAUUCUCAAUCUUCUAUUUUCACUCCGAUUUCCGCACGAGUCAAUCCUGACGUAUAAUUUACUUGUCUAAGUCCAAUAAAAAUAGUAUCUCAUACUAUUUUUUAUUUAUAUUCACUUUUAAAAAAAAAUUCGGUAUGCUACAGUUGGCAAGGCAAGCACCGAGGUCGACGUCAACCGGUUCUUUAACUCCUCAAAGCUUCGAUCGCAGUCGUCGCUCCACACGUACUUUACUC
rnacentral:lncRNA from 1 species